AUUUCCCAAACCCAGAAUCCCCACCCUCCUCUCCGGCUCUCCCCAUUACAGCCUCUGCCCGCCGCCUCUCUCCCUCACUUCUCACACUCAUGGCGGCUGCACGCCUCACGCCUGAGAAUUCAUCGGCGCCGCCGCAGCAACUGGUGCUCGCUGCAGCCUCACGCGAGCAGAGCAGAGGCAGCAGCAUCCCGUGACCCUCAUCUCGCCGCUCUCCAGACAACUCCAGCCUCUCGUUGCCCUCAUCUCUUCGGUGUCUAGGAUCGCCGUCGGCCGUCGCGC
rnacentral:lncRNA from 1 species